UACAGAGGGUGCGAGCGUUGUUCGGAAUUACUGGGCGUAAAGGGCGCGUAGGCGGGCUCGCGAGUCAGGGGUGAAAGCCCCCAGCCCAACUGGGGAAGUGCCUUUGAUACUGCGAGCCUCGAGGGAGGUAGGGGCGUGCGGAACUUCCGGUGGAGCGGUGAAAUGCGUAGAUAUCGGAAGGAACACCGGUGGCGAAAGCGGCGCGCUGGACCUCUUCUGACGCUGAGGCGCGAAAGCCAGGGGAGCGAACGGG
rnacentral:rRNA from 1 species